rnacentral:rRNA from 1 species
AAUGAACGCUGGCGGCGUGCCUAACACAUGCAAGUCGAACGGUUGUAGCAAUACACCAGUGGCGGACGGGUGAGUAUAGCAUGGGUAUCUGCCUUGUGGAGGGGAAUAGCUGCGGGAAGCUGCAGGUAAGUCCGCGUAAGCAAGCUAAAUGAGAGUUUAGUUUGGAAAGUAUCGGGAUCAGAAUGACCGGUAGCCAUGAGAUGAGCCCAUGUCCCAUUAGCUUGUUGGUAGGGUAAAGGCCUACCAAGGUAAAGAUGGGUAGCUGGUCUGAGAGGACGACCAGCCACACUGGAACUGAGAUACGGUCCAGACUCCUACGGGAGGCAGCAGUGGGGAAUAUUGCGCAAUGGGCGAAAGCCUGACGCAGCAACGCCGCGUGAGUGAGGAAGGCCUUCGGGUUGUAAAGCUCUUUCGGUUGGGAAGAAGGGAAUUAUUCCUAAUAAGAAUGGUUCUUGAUGGUACCAAAACAAGAAGCACCGGCAAACUUCGUGCCAGCAGCCGCCGCGG